rnacentral:lncRNA from 1 species
CUUAUCAUUCAAGGCUACAGGACCUAAUUUUCAAAUCAAUAUGAGUACACAUUCCCAUCUUGAACACUACUCCUAAAUAACACUUUAGUCUAGCUUAAACUUCAAAUCAACAUAAUAGCCAAACUGAAAUGGAUUAAACUAUAGUUAAGAAAAUAGUCCAUACAGUCCUAAUUAAUACAAAGGCCUCUAUUCAAACAAUGCUACUAAGCUAAGCACCUAAGUUAAAUUAUUAAAAAAAUCGUGUGAAAACAAGUGAUUAUUCAGUAGUGUACUUCAGAUGUGUUCAUACAUGUUGAUCCAAUCUUCGACGUCACAUGAUGCAAAAAAAUGUACCUGAAAAUGGAAAUAGGGGACAAGUAAGAGGCAGCAAGUUCAACAACAGUAAUGUAAUAGGAACCAACAACUUAAGAUUAGUUUUAAACCCAGAAAUUGUAUCAAGUUUCUCAGUAAUUAGUUUAGAUGAACAAAGACCAGCAACAACCCAAAAAAAGCUUGAAUAAACCAAGCAAAAUUCAGAAAUAUGUCCAAGGAACUCCUGAAGUUUCAACUACUGAAUUAAAAGACAAUUCAAACCAUUUUCAACUUAUAUAAGCUGGAGUUUUAAUUCAGAACUCGGAACUUAAUAUCACUCUAAAAAAUCUAAUGGAAUAGUGAUUUUCUAGAGUUUUGGUCGCCUCUAAUUCUGAGUAUCUUUUAAUGUAUUCUUUAUGCUUCCCUAUCUAAAAUCUC